GACGAACGCUGGCGGCGUGCUUAACACAUGCAAGUCGAACGGUGAAGCGCCUUCCUUUUUGGUGGGUGUGGAUGAGUGGCGAACGGGUGAGUAACACGUGAGUAACCUGCCCCCUUCUUCUGGAUAACCGCAUGAAAGUGUGGCUAAUACGGGAUAUUCUGGGUCUGUCGCAUGAUGGGUCUGGGAAAGAUAUUGUUUCGGUGGGGGAUGGGCUCGCGGCCUAUCAGCUUGUUGGUGGGGUGAUGGCCUACCAAGGCGGUGACGGGUAGCCGGCCUGAGAGGGUGGACGGUCACACUGGGACCGAGACACGGCCCAGACUCCUACGGGAGGCAGCAGUGGGGAAUAUUGCACAAUGGGCGCAAGCCGGAUGCAGCGACGCCGCGUGAGGGAUGGAGGCCUUCGGGUUGUGAACCUCUUUCGCCAGUGAAGCAGGCCUGCCUCGUUUGUGGGUGGGUUGACGGUAGCGGGAUAAGAAGCGCCGGCUAACUACGU
rnacentral:rRNA from 1 species